rnacentral:rRNA from 1 species
GUGGGGAAUAUUGGACAAUGGGCGGAAGCCUGAUCCAGCCAUGCCGCGUGUGUGAAGAAGGCCUUUUGGUUGUAAAGCACUUUAAGCGAGGAGGAGGCUCCUUUAGUUAAUACCUAAAGAGAGUGGACGUUACUCGCAGAAUAAGCACCGGCUAACUCUGUGCCAGCAGCCGCGGUAAUACAGAGGGUGCGAGCGUUAAUCGGAUUUACUGGGCGUAAAGCGUGCGUAGGCGGCUUUUUUAAGUCGGAUGUGAAAUCCCUGAGCUUAACUUAGGAAUUGCAUUCGAUACUGUGAAGCUAGAGUAUGGGAGAGGAUGGUAGAAUUCCAGGUGUAGCGGUGAAAUGCGUAGAGAUCUGGAGGAAUACCGAUGGCGAAGGCAGCCAUCUGGCCUAAUACUGACGCUGAGGUACGAAAGCAUGGGGAGCAGACAGGAUUAGAUACCCGAGUAGUCC